rnacentral:rRNA from 1 species
GGUAGUCCACGCCCUAAACGAUGUGCACUAGACCGGAGCGGCUCUGACGUCGUUCUGGUCGGAGAGAAAUUGUUAAGUGCACCGCCUGGGUAGUACGGUCGCAAGGCUAAAACUCAAAGGAAUUGACGGGGGCUCACACAAGCGGUGGAGCAUGUUGCUUAAUUCGAAGCAACGCGAAGAACCUUACCUGGGUUUGACAUGCUUGGAUUAACUCCUGGAAACAGGAGCCACGCCCGCAAGGGUGGAACAAGCACAGGUGCUGCAUGGCUGUCGUCAGCUCGUGCUGUGAAGUGUCGGGUUAAG